ACGUAGGGGGCGAGCGUUAUUCGGAAUUACUGGGUGUAAAGGGUAUGUAGGCGGCCCUUCAAGUCGCGUGUCAAAGUCCAGUGCUCAACGCUGGGUGUGCACGCGAUACUGACGGGCUUGAGGGCUGGAGAGGUGAGCGGAAUUCCCGGUGAAGUGGGAAAAUAGAUAGAGAGUGGCGAGAAGAUAAGCGGGGGUGGGGGGUCAAUAGGAAGUGUUUGACGUGUAGAUACGAAAGCGUGUGGUGAUUGCAG
rnacentral:rRNA from 1 species